rnacentral:rRNA from 1 species
GACGAACGCUGGCGGCGUGCUUAACACAUGCAAGUCGAACGGUGAAGCGCCUUCCUUUUUGGUGGGUGUGGAUGAGUGGCGAACUGGUUAGUAACACGUUAGUAACCUUCCCCCUUCUGCUGGAUAACCGCAUGAAAGUGUUGCUAAUACGGGAUAUUCUGGGUCUGUCGCAUGAUGGGUCUGGGACAGUUAUUGUUUCGGUGGGGGAUGGACUCGCGGCCUAUCAGCUUGUUGGUGGGGUGAUGGCCUACCAAGGCGGUGACGGGUAGCCGGCCUGAGAGGGUGGACGGUCACAGUGGGACGAAGAGACGGAGCCGCCUACGACGGGCGGCAGUAGGGAAGAAUACUGAACAAUGGGAGGCAGGCUGAUGCAGCGACGCCGGGUGAGGGAUGGAGGCCGUAGGGUUGUGAACCUCUUUCGGGAGUGAAGAAGGGCUGCAUCGUUUGUGGGUGGGUUGACGGUAGCUGGAGAAGAAGCGACGGCUAACUACGUG